rnacentral:rRNA from 1 species
GUUGGGUAACACUAACUGGAGGACCGAACCGACUAAUGUUGAAAAAUUAGCGGAUGACCUGUGGCUGGGGGUGAAAGGCCAAUCAAACCGGGAGAUAGCUGGUUCUCCCCGAAAGCUAUUUAGGUAGCGCCUCGUGAAUUCAUCUCCGGGGGUAGAGCACUGUUUCGGCUAGGGGGCCAUCCCGGCUUACCAACCCGAUGCAAACUGCGAAUACCGGAGAAUGUUAUCACGGGAGACACACGGCGGGUGCUAACGUCCGUCGUGAAGAGGGAAACAACCCAGACCGCCAGCUAAGGUCCCAAAGUCAUGGUUAAGUGGGAAACGAUGUGGGAAGGCCCAGACAGCCAGGAUGUUGGCUUAGAAGCAGCCAUCAUUUAAAGAAAGCGUAAUAGCUCACUGGUCGAGUCGGCCUGCGCGGAAGAUGUAACGGGGCUAAACCAUGCACCGAAGCUGCGGCAGCGACACUGUGUGUUGUUGGGUAGGGGAGCGUUCUGUAAGCCUGUGAAGGUGUGUCGUGAGGC